UGAUUCACUUCAUCCUUAGACAACCUACUAUAGCUCAUACAUGACCGACCAAUCUCAGACCACCUAGUGUCAACAUUCGCUCCAUGGUCUUCAGAACCUCAGCCAAGGAUAAUCUAUUAUAGCACAUCCAUAGUUGAGCUAUGCACUCCACCGACAGAUCCGUCUUUCCUUCUCCUAAAUUGGAAAAGUCCAAAUAGAAUAUAAUUCCUCCGUAAUCGAGUCUCCCGUAAAAAGAAAAUAUCUCAUCUAAAUCAAUCUACGCGAUAAAUCCAAAAAAUUAUCAAGACUCCGAGACGGAUACGACUCCAAUACCUCCCCU
rnacentral:lncRNA from 1 species